CGGGGAGAGGCGGUGGGUGGGGGCAGCGGGGCAGGGGGCUGCCUGGAGCCAGAUGUGCGGGGCCACGACGGGAUGGGGCUCACCUCGGGCACGUGCAGGUGGAUGUGCGAGGUCACCAGAACAGCCAUCCUGCCACCUGGAGCCUGCACCCUUCAUGCACCUACAAAGCUGCGCCCAGCCCUGCUGGCCCAAGACGACCCCUGGGCUGUCAAGGACCCCGCCCUCCAACUGCCUGUGUGGGGCUGAAGGACGUCUCGGGACACGGACGCCCCCUCCGACCCCUGCCCGGCGCUCCCUGCCCUCCUCCCCUGCUCGUGCUGGAGGACCCUCCCGCACGCACACCUGUCCAAGUGUCCCCCAAAUAAAGCUGUGGACGCUGCUGCCA